rnacentral:tRNA from 1 species
GCUGAUAUGGCUCAGUUGGUAGAGCGCACCCUUGGUAAGGGUGAGGUCCCCAGUUCGACUCUGGGUAUCAGAU